UCAUGGCUCAGGAUGAACGCUAGCGGCAGGCCUAACACAUGCAAGUCGAGGGGCAGCGGGGAAAAGCUUGCUUUUCCGCCGGCGACCGGCGCACGGGUGCGCACCGCGUAUGGAACCUGCCUUGUACAGGGGAAUAGCCCAGGGAAACUUGGAUUAAUGCCCCGUAGUACCGUAUUUCGGCAUCGUUAUACGGUUAAAGCCUUCGGGCGGUACAAGAUGGCCAUGCGUCCCAUUAGCUAGAUGGUAAGGUAACGGCUUACCAUGGCUACGAUGGGUAGGGGCCCUGAGAGGGGGAUCCCCCACACUGGUACUGAGACACGGACCAGACUCCUACGGGAGGCAGCAGUGAGGAAUAUUGGACAAUGGAGGAGACUCUGAUCCAGCCAUGCCGCGUGCAGGAAGAAUGCCCUAUGGGUAGUAAACUGCUUUUAUACGGGAAGAAAAAGAGCUACGUGUAGCUUACUGACGGUACCGUAAGAAUAAGGACCGGCUAACUCCGUGCCAGCAGCCGCGGUAAUACGGAGGGUCCGAGCGUUAUCCGGAAUUAUUGGGUUUAAAGGGUCCGUAGGCGGGCCGAUAAGUCAGGGGUGAAAGUCUGCCGCUCAACGGUAGAACUGCCUUUGAUACUGUCGGUCUUGAGUUAUAGUGAAGUUGCCGGAAUAUGUAGUGUAGCGGUGAAAUGCAUAGAUAUUACAUAGAACACCGAUUGCGAAGGCAGGUGACUAACUAUAUACUG
rnacentral:rRNA from 1 species